rnacentral:rRNA from 1 species
GACGAACGCUGGCGGCGUGCUUAACACAUGCAAGUCGAACGAAGUGGCGAACGGGUGAGUAACGCGUAAUCAACCUGCCCUUCAGAGGGGGACAACAGUUGGAAACGACUGCUAAUACCCCAUACUGAAGGAGGGGAUUGCGUCUGAUUAGCUCGUUGGAGGGGUAACGGCCCACCAAGGCGAUGGUCAGUAGCCGUGCUGAGAGGAUGAACGGCCACAUUGGGACUGAGACACGGCCCAGACUCCUACGGGAGGCAGCAGUGGGGAAUCUUCCGCAAAUGAAGAAAGUCUGACGGAGCAACGCCGGGGGAGUGAGUAAGGCCUUCGGGGUGUAAAGCUCUGUUAAUCGGGACGCGGUACCGGAAUAGAAAGCCACGGCUAACUACGUGCCAGCAGCCGCGGUAAUAC